rnacentral:tRNA from 1 species
AAUAAGAAGCAAUUUUGCAUUUAAUUUCGACUUAAAAGAACGAGAUAUCUUCUCCUUAUUU